rnacentral:lncRNA from 1 species
UAAAGUUGAAAACAUUUGUCUGCAGAUGAGAAAGUGGGACAUGGAGCAAGUUGGAAUCGUUGGUAUCUCAUCCAAUGAUCCUAAAUGUGUAGCUCUCUUCUUUCUCGCAUUCAGAGUCUACACAGACCAAAAGAAAAUGCAUGAAAAACUUCAUGUUUCAAGAAAUUAAUUGAUGCUUAAAAAUGCCGCUACUUAGUGAAGAAGCUUUGUAUAUUCUCACUUACUUAAAGAUCUUACAUGCUAAUUAUGGGAACAAUGAAAACCUCUAAUCAAAAGCAUCUACAACAUCCUCAAGAUGCUCAACCGGUUCCAGGUGUUAGCACUCUCUGGCCAAUCACGCCUUUAAGAUUGAAAACCACAAAGAGUUAUGGACAAAAUGAAACCAUGCUAUAAACAUGUGGUAUAUAUCAACAAAUAUA